UACAGGGGGUGCAAACGUUGCUCGGAAUCAUUGGGCGUAAAGCGCACGUAGGCGGUUUGUUAUGUCGGAUGUGAAAGCCCUUGGCUCAACUGAGGAAGUGCAUCCGAAACUGGCAAGCUAGAGUACUAAAGAGGAUCGCGGAAUUCCCGGUGUAGAGGUGAAAUUCGUAGAUAUCGGGAGGAACACCGGUGGCGAAAGCGGCUCUCUGGUCCGGACCUGACGCUGAGGCGCGAAAGCCAGGGGAGCAAACGGG
rnacentral:rRNA from 1 species